AGUUCGAUCAUGGCUCAGAUUGAACGCUGGCGGGAUGCUUUACAUGCAAGUCGAACGGCAGCACGGACUUCGGUCUGGUGGCGAGUGGCGAACGGGUGAGUAAUGUAUCGGAACGCCCUUAGUAGCGGGGAUAACUACGCGAAAGCGUAGCUAAUACCGCAUACGCCCUUCGGGGGAAAGCGUGGGGACCUUCGGGCCUCGCACUAUUAGAGCGGCCGAUAUCGGAUUAGCUAGUUGGUGGGGUAACGGCUCACCAAGGCGACGAGAUCCGUAGCUGGUUUGAGAGGACGACCAGCCACACUGGGACUGAGACACGGCCCAGACUCCUACGGAGGCAGCAGUGGGGAAUUUUGACAAUGGGGGAAACCUGAUCCAGCCAUCCCGCGUGUGCGAUGAAGGCCUUCGGGUUGUAAAGCACUUUUGGCAGGAAAAGAAACGGCACGGAUAAUACCCCGUGCAACUGACGGUACCUGCAGAAUAAGCACCGGCUAACUACGUGCCAGCAGCCGCGGUAAUACGUAGGGUGCAAGCGUUAACGGAAUUACUGGGCGUAAAGCGUGCGCAGGCGGUUCGGAAAGAAAGAUGUGAAAUCCCAGAGCUUAACUUUGGAACUGCAUUUUUAACUACCGAGCUAGAGUGUGUCAGAGGGAGGUGGAAUUCCGCGUGUAGCAGUGAAAUGCGUAGAUAUGCGGAGGAACACCGAUGGCGAAGGCAGCCUCCUGGGAUAACACUGACGCUCAUGCACGAAAGCGUGGGGAGCAAACAGGAUUAGAUAAUCUCUGGUAGUCCACGCCCUAAACGAUGUCAACUAGCUGUUGGGGCCUUCGGGCCUGGUAGCGCAGCUAACGCGUGAAGUUGACCGCCUGGGGAGUACGGUCGCAGAUUAAAACUCAAAGGAAUUGACGGGGACCCGCACAAGCGGUGGAUGAUGGAUUAAUUGAUGCAACGCGAAAACCUUACCUACCCUUGACAUGUCUGGAAUCCCGAAGAGAUUUGGGGAGUGCUCGCAAGAGAACCGGAACACAGGUGCUGCAUGGCUGUCGUCAGCUCGUGUCGUGAGAUGCUGGGUUAAGUCCCGCAACGAGCGCAACCCUUGUCAUUAGUUGCUACGAAAGGGCACUCUAAUGAGACUGCCGGUGACAAACCGGAGGAAGGUGGGGAUGACGUCAAGUCUCAUGGCCCUUAUGGGUAGGGCUUCACACGUCAUACAAUGGUCGGGACAGAGGGUCGCCAACCCGCGAGGGGGAGCCAAUCCUAGAAACCCGAUCGUAGUCCGGAUCGCAGUCCGCAACCUCGAUCGCGGAAGUCGGAAUCGCUAGUAAUCGCGGAUCAGCAUGUCGCGGUGAAUACGUUCCCGGGUCUUGUACACACUGCCCGUCACACCAUGGGAGUGGGUUUUACCAGAAGUAGUUAGCCUAACCGUAAGGAGGGCGAUUACCACGGUAGGAUUCAUGACUGGGGUGAAGUCGUAACAAGGUAA
rnacentral:rRNA from 1 species